AACCUAUGGUGAGGGCACCUUCUCAGUAAUUCCUUGUGUCUCUCCCAUGCAUCGUACAGUUUUUCUAAAUCCAUCUGCACAAAAAAAGAGAUAUCAUUACGUAAUUU
rfam:Gossypium arboreum cultivar AKA8401 contig_85591_3, whole genome shotgun sequence.